rnacentral:rRNA from 1 species
AUUGAACGCUGGCGGAAUGCUUUACACAUGCAAGUCGAACGGCAGCACGGGGCAACCUGGUGGCGAGUGGCGAACGGGUGAGUAAUACAUCGGAACGUGCCCAAUCGUGGGGGAUAACGUAGCGAAAGUUACGCUAAUACCGCAUACGAUCUACGGAUGAAAGCGGGGGAUCACAAGACCUCGCGCGAAUGGAGCGGCCGAUGUCAGAUUAGGUAGUUGGUGGGGUAAAGGCUCACCAAGCCAACGAUCUGUAGCUGGUCUGAGAGGACGACCAGCCCCACUGGGACUGAGACACGGCCCAGACUCCUACGGGAGGCAGCAGUGGGGAAUUGUGGACAAUGGGCGCAAGCCUGAUCCAGCCAUUCCGCGUGCAGGAUGAAGGCCUUCGGGUUGUAAACUGCUUUUGUACGGAACGAAACGGCUCUCUCUAAUACAGGGGGCUAAUGACGGUACCGUAAGAAUAAGCACCGGCUAACUACGUGCCAGCCGCCGCCGUAACAC